rnacentral:lncRNA from 10 species
GCAGUUGAACUGUACAUUUUUAGAUGCAACCUCCAAAAACCCAACUUUGCAAAGAUAUGGCAUCGUCAGAAGAAAUGGGGUGCAAUCUAAUGUUGACAGUGUGGAUGAGAGUGGGACACCUGCCAGUUGUUUGCAUCAGCAGACACUCAGAGUCCAUGGAAAAAAUGAGCCUAGAGGUUUUUAAACCACAACACAAGCAAAAGGCACCUGGUCCCGUUCCUCUUAAGACAGAAGAAAGAGGCGUAAAACCAGCUCCAGGUGCCACCCUUAAGAAAUGUUACAGUGCCGGAUGGGAAGAGUAAACCCUGAACAUCUCUUCUUAAUACUUUACAGACUUCAAGUGUAUUUUAUGGUGACAAAGCAUAUUGAAGACAAAUGAAACUCUACAACCCUGAAAACCAGCCUGAAUUAUUUUGAGAGACAGACAGUGGCUGCAAGGAGAAGCGUCGGGAUUUUCUGGGCUGGCCAUCUCCAGUGUCACUGACCCCGGUCUACCCCUGCAUGUUUGUUUACGGGAAAGGAGUUGAGGAGGAGGAUGUAUGGCUGAGAGCCUGAAAAUAAUCCAGGGCAGGUGGAGCGAGGAGAGGACUUUACUCCUCACACUCAUGUAGGCAUCCUGAAAAGCCACUUUUCUUUCCAAGGUGGGCACGGGCCUUGAGCUUGGAGUGGAGCCAGUUAAAGUUGUCCGCUCUGGGUCGUCAGAUGGAGAUCUUAUCUUGGGUCAUGAAUUGUGGUUUUAGGAGAAAGGCAGAAGCUAAACCCAUCUUCUGUCUGGUGGGGAGGCCCAGCAAAGGGCUCAGAAACACAGCCACAGGCCUCUUGCAGCAGCUGGAUGCACAUUUCAGGAGGUUGCCUGAAAGCAGAAUUGACUUCAGAGAGUAGGGCAGCAGAGCCCAGCCACAGAGUGG